UAUCUGGUUGAUCCUGCCAGUAGUCAUAUGCUUGUCUCAAAGAUUAAGCCAUGCAUGUCUAAGUAUAAGCACUUGUACUGUGAAACUGCGAAUGGCUCAUUAAAUCAGUUAUCGUUUAUUUGAUUGUACCUUUACCACUUGGAUAACCGUGGUAAUUCUAGAGCUAAUACAUGCGAAAAGUCCCGACUUCUGGAAGGGAUGUAUUUAUUAGAUUCAAAACCAAUGCGGGUUCUGCCCGGUCAUUUGGUGAUUCAUAGUAACUGUUCGAAUCGCAGGGCCUCGCGCCGGCGAUGUUUCAUUCAAAUUUCUGCCCUAUCAACUGUCGAUGGUAAGGUGUUGGCUUACCAUGGUUACAACGGGUG
rnacentral:ncRNA from 1 species